rnacentral:misc_RNA from 1 species
GAUGAAGAACGUAGCGAAAUGCGAUAAGAAUGUGAAUUGCAGAAUUUAGUGAAUCAUCGAAUCUUUGAACGCAUAUUGCGCCCGCCAGCACUCUGGCGGGCAUGCCUGUUCGAGCGUCAUUUCAACCCUCAGGCCUCGCGUCUGGCGUUGGGGCGCUGCGGCCCUCCCGCAGGCCCCCAAAUCUAGCGGCGGAUCCGCCGCGGCCCUGAGCGCAGUAGUUUGACUCGAACGCUCCGGCGGCCGUGGCGCGGUUCUGCCUCCCGCCCCAUAGCGCCGAUGGCGCUACUCCCAAAAGUUGACCUCGGAUCAGGUAGGACUACCCGCUGAACUUAAGCAUAUCAAUAAGCGGAGGA